UACGAAGGGUGCAAGCGUUACUCGGAAUUACUGGGCGUAAAGCGUGCGUAGGUGGUGAGUUAAGUCUGUCGUGAAAGCCCCGGGCUCAACCUGGGAAUGGCGAUGGAUACUGGCUCGCUAGAGUGCGGUAGAGGAGAGUGGAAUUCCCGGUGUAGCAGUGAAAUGCGUAGAUAUCAGGAGGAACACCGAUGGCGAAGGCAGCUCGCUGGGACGGUACUGACGCUGAGACGCGAAAGCGUGGGGAGCAAACAGG
rnacentral:rRNA from 1 species